UACGGAGGGUGCGAGCGUUGUUCGGAAUCACUGGGCGUAAAGCGCGCGUAGGCGGUUUGUUAAGUGGGCUGUGAAAUCCCCGGGCUUAACCUGGGAAUUGCAUUUCAAACUGGCCGACUAGAGUACGGUAGAGGGAGGUAGAAUUUCCUGUGUAGCGGUGAAAUGCGUAGAUAUAGGAAGGAAUACCAGUGGCGAAGGCGGCCUCCUGGAUCGAUACUGACGCUGAGGCGCGAAAGCGUGGGGAGCAAACAGG
rnacentral:rRNA from 1 species